rnacentral:rRNA from 1 species
UGCUUUGGUGCCUUCGGGAACUCUGAGACAGGUGCUGCAUGGCUGUCGUCAGCUCGUGUUGUGAAAUGUUGGGUUAAGUCCCGCAACGAGCGCAACCCUUAUCCUUUGUUGCCAGCGGUUAGGCCGGGAACUCAAAGGAGACUGCCAGUGAUAAACUGGAGGAAGGUGGGGAUGACGUCAAGUCAUCAUGGCCCUUACGAGUAGGGCUACACACGUGCUACAAUGGCGCAUACAAAGAGAAGCGACCUCGCGAGAGCAAGCGGACCUCAUAAAGUGCGUCGUAGUCCGGAUUGGAGUCUGCAACUCGACUCCAUGAAGUCGGAAUCGCUAGUAAUCGUGGAUCAGAAUGCCACGGUGAAUACGUUCCCGGGCCUUGUACACACCGCCCGUCACACCAUGGGAGUGGGUUGCAAAAGAAGUAGGUAGCUUAACCUUCGGGAGGGCGCUUACCACUUUGUGAUUCAUGACUGGGGUGAAGUCGUAACAAGGUAAGCGUAGUGCU